AAGAAGGGCCUACCAAGGAUAAUCAACAUGUUGUCGUCCUCGGGCAUCUCAAGUAUAACAAAGUCGGUCAAAAAUAGUAACAUUAGCAACAACAACGGGCAUAUACUCACAAAUACCGAUAGGUAUGGCAGCCGAUUUGUCAGCCAUUUGCAAAGAUAUUUCACUUGAUGUGAGUUUAUUUAAAUCAAGUCUUUUGUAUAAAGAGAAAGACAUAACACUAACACUAGCUCUCAAAUCACACAAGGCAGUUUUCACAUAAUUUUUUUUGAUGGAGCAAUGUAUAGUUGGUAUUUCCGGAUCUCCAAGUUUUUUAGGUACUCCAUCUUUAAAAGUAUAAUUAGCAAGUAUGGUGGAGAUUUCAGCUUUCGGUAUUUUUCUCUUAUUAGUGAUGAUGUCUUUCAUGUCCUUUGCAUAAGGAGUCAUUUUCAAAAUAUCAGUCAAGCGAGUAGGUGCUCAUAGGGGUAGGGUAUGCGUGCGUACAUUCAUAAAGGUGAGUGUAUACGUGUAUGUAUGAGUGCUUACGUCUGUAUUGUGUUAAAAAAAAGUACACACUCUACGUAUAUACUUAUGUACUACUCCGUGUCACUCAAAUAUUAGCAAGGCCUGUGUAUCUCAGAAAGGAAAUGUAAUAUUAUCUGAACCUUUUGUAGGAGUAAAUGGUGACUGUCCUCUUGCGAUGGCAGCGCCUAGAUAGAUAAGAUCUGGAGGAUUUCGGUGGGCAUGGAGCAGGCGGUGUACUCCUCGAUGGUGCGCCAAUGGUGGUCGCGGGGUUUCGCGGUUGCCGCAGCCGGCCGCGGAGCGUGAUCCAGCGUCGUGGGAGAAAUCGCGGGCGCUAGAGAUUGGCGCACGCGAGUGCGUCAACGUCGAGGGUUGCAAGACGGGGCAGGCAUGCGAAUUAGCGUAGGGAGACGGUAUGAGACGAUUUGUAGCAUGAUUUUAGGGGGAAAUGGCAAUGGGAGAAAAGCAAAAUAUGCAUUUUAGGAAAAACAAAAUGUGAGAAAAAAAUCGAGUGAGGAUCGGCGUGAGAGGAGGACAAAGGUCAUGAGAGAAACGGAUCGGCAACACAAGAGAAAACACAUGGUAUGGCUCUUUUUAUGAAAAUAAUUCAGAUCUAUUGUCAAAGCUCAUCGAAAAUACAAAGCGUCUCAAACAUAAUAAAAAAUAUAUUAAAAUUGCAAGACCACUGAACGGCCAAUACCACGACCUGGUCCUGAUCAUCCUCAGCAAUACGGCGUACAAAUCCCCGCAAAAAAUAAAUAAAUAUGGCAUACACAUCCACAAAAGAUAACAUGAAGACUAAAUAUUACUCCCUCCGUCCGAAAUUACUUGUCAUCAAAAUGGAUGAAAAUAGAUGUAUCUAGAACUGAAAUACAUCUAGAUACAUCCAUUUCAAUGACAAGUAUUUCCAGACGAAGAGAAUACUAUUAAUUAUAUGAGAUCAUAAAGGUAAGAAAUCACUAACAUAGAUCACAUCUCAUAAUUUUAUUACAAGAUGGUCAUGACAUUAUUUCUCAUCAUAAAUCAUAUGUAAUGGUUGCUCAUGGCUCUGUCAAGGUAUGAGAUCGCUUGCAUCCAGGAGCGCAACCUUUUUGGCAUUGUUCUAUCGUUGGAAAGCAAUCACCUCCUAGGUCGCAGCAGUAAACUGCAUUUACCCGUGAGCAUGUGCACAUUUGGACCUUGUUGUUGUUCAUUUGUUCAACUGAUCGACCUGCAUGCAGACAACAAUGUACAUGUCAACUAGCUUUCGUGUUGGUGGUUCUUCGAGGAGGGAUAAAAAAUAUAAAAAUAGUGAUCUAAACGCUCUUAUAUUUCUUUACAGAGGGAGUAAUAAUUUUUGAUACCCUCACAAAAAAAUGAUACACUAAAAGCUUUAUCAUAUUUCACAUGAUUGUUUCCGCAUACUUACACUGCGAAUGAAUCGUGGUACAUGCGAGGAUAACUAUCAUAAGCACGACCACCCUGCUUCCGUUCAUCGUAAGCUUCGCCAUAGAAGUGAGUCCUCCUAUCGAGAGAUUGUUGUAUCUGAGGAAGCAUAUACUGACCACACA
rnacentral:lncRNA from 1 species